GAUGAACGCUGGCGGCGUGCCUAAUACAUGCAAGUCGAACGCACAGCGAAAGGUGCUUGCACCUUUCAAGUGAGUGGCGAACGGGUGAGUAACACGUGGACAACCUGCCUCAAGGCUGGGGAUAACAUUUGGAAACAGAUGCUAAUACCGAAUAAAACUUAGUGUCGCAUGACACAAAAGUUAAAGGCGCUUCGGCGUCACCUAGAGAUGGAUCCGCGGUGCAUUAGUUAGUGUGGGUAAAGCCUACAAGACAAUGAUGCAUAGCCGAGUUGAGAGACUGAUCGGCCACAUUGGGACUGAGACA
rnacentral:rRNA from 1 species